rnacentral:rRNA from 1 species
GUGGGGAAUUUUGCGCAAUGGGCGGAAGCCUGACGCAGCAACGCCGCGUGGAGGAUGAAGGUCUUUGGAUCGUAAACUCCUGUCAGCAGGGAAAAAGCGACCGGGUCGAAUACACUCGGGAGUUGAUUGUACCUGCAGAGGAAGCCCCGGCUAACUCUGUGCCAGCAGCCGCGGUAAUACAGAGGGGGCAAGCGUUAUUCGGAAUUAUUGGGCGUAAAGGGCGCGUAGGCGGCCUGGCAAGCGACGGGUGAAAUCCCUCGGCUUAACCGAGGAACUGCCUGUCGAACUGCCUGGCUUGAGGCCGGGAGAGGCGAGUGGAAUUCCCAGUGUAGCGGUGAAAUGCGUAGAUAUUGGGAGGAACACCAGUGGCGAAGGCGGCUCGCUGGACCGGUACUGACGCUGAGGCGCGAAAGCGUGGGGAGCAAACAGGAUUAGAUACCCUAGUAGUCC